rnacentral:rRNA from 2 species
UUAAGCGACUAAGCGUACACGGUGGAUGCCCUGGCAGUCAGAGGCGAUGAAGGGCGUACUAAUCUGCGAUAAGCGCCGGUAAGGUGAUAUGAACCGUUAUAACCGGCGAUACCCGAAUGGGGAAACCCAGUGUGAUUCGUCACACUAUCAUUAACUGAAUCCAUAGGUUAAUGAGGCGAACCGGGGGAACUGAAACAUCUAAGUACCCCGAGGAAAAGAAAUCAACCGAGAUUCCCCCAGUAGCGGCGAGCGAACGGGGAGGAGCCCAGAGCCUGAAUCAGCAUGUGUGUUAGUGGAAGCGUCUGGAAAGGCGCGCGAUACAGGGUGACAGCCCCGUACACAAAAGCGCAUGUGCUGUGAGCUCGAUGAGUAGGGCGGGACACGUGGUAUCCUGUCUGAAUAUGGGGGGACCAUCCUCCAAGGCUAAAUACUCCUGACUGACCGAUAGUGAACCAGUACCGUGAGGGAAAGGCGAAAAGAACCCCGGCGAGGGGAGUGAAAAAGAACCUGAAACCGU